rnacentral:rRNA from 1 species
UACGUAGGGUGCGAGCGUUGCCCGGAUUUAUUGGGCGUAAAGGGCGCGUAGGCGGCUCUGCACGUCCGUUGUGAAAUCGCCCGGCUCAACUGGGCGGGGUCAGCGGAUACGGCAGAGCUCGAGCAAGCUAGGGGGCAAUGGAAUUCCCGGUGUAGUGGUGGAAUGCGUAGAUAUCGGAAGGAACGCCGGUGGCGAAAGCGAUCGACUGGACCUCUUCUGACGCUGAGGCGCGAAAGCCAGGGGAGCAAACGGG